CAAGAAGUAACCUCUUCUUCUCCAUUGAAGGGAUUACACAGCUUUAGUUCAUUCCGGUCCGUGCGUUUGUUUCUGUGGCAAGGGCGGAUAGUGAACAAAUUGUGACAUAUGGGAUCCCAAUAGUGACUUCGUGUUCGUCGGAAUAGACAAAAACUACCAACACAAGAUGGCUAUGGAAUUUGUUACGGCUUCUGUUGCAACUAUUCUGUCCUUAUUUUUAACUGCUCUGUUUUUGCAGUUACUUUAUAAGGCACUUCGUGUGACAUUGAGGGAUCCAAGAACACACACGAUGGAAUUUGCGGAAAACAGGGGUGGCCUUCUGAGGUGGUAUUUUACUGCUGUUAUGCAGGCCUUCCAUAAAUCCCAGGGAGUGUUUCAUCCUGUUUUUGAAACCGAUCGCUUGGAGAAACCGGAUCCCAUCACUGAAAAGAAUCACCCAGGCACCAUUGGUAUAUUUGUCCCUCCUCCAGACGAAAUCGCCACAUUAACAGACUGCUGG